rnacentral:rRNA from 1 species
AUUGAACGCUGGCGGAAUGCUUUACACAUGCAAGUCGAACGGCAGCACGGACUUCGGUCUGGUGGCGAGUGGCGAACGGGUGAGUAAUGUAUCGGAACGUGCCCAGUCGUGGGGGAUAACGUAGCGAAAGUUACGCUAAUACCGCAUACGAUCUAAGGAUGAAAGCGGGGGAUCGCAAGACCUCGCGCGAUUGGAGCGGCCGAUAUCAGAUUAGGUAGUUGGUGGGGUAAAGGCCCACCAAGCCAACGAUCUGUAGCUGGUCUGAGAGGACGACCAGCCACACUGGAACUGAGACACGGUCCAGACUCCUACGGGAGGCAGCAGUGGGGAAUUUUGGACAAUGGGCGAAAGCCUGAUCCAGCCAUUCCGCGUGCAGGAUGAAGGCCCUCGGGUUGUAAACUGCUUUUGUACAGAACGAAAAGGUUUCUACUAAUACUAGGAGCUCAUGACGGUACUGUAAGAAUAAGCACCGGCUAACUACGUGCCAGCAGCCGCAGUAA